rnacentral:tRNA from 3 species
GGUAGCGUGGCAGAGUUGGUAAAUGCGACGGUCUUGAAAAUCGUUUGUCAGAAAUGGCUUGUGGGUUCAAAUCCUACCGCUACCG